rnacentral:tRNA from 1 species
GCUGGUGUAGCUCAAUGGUUAGAGCAUAGACCCUCGGACCUAAGGGUCACGGGUUCGAUUCCCAGUCAAGAGCA